rnacentral:rRNA from 1 species
GACCUCGGAUCGGGUAGGGAUACCCGCUGAACUUAAGCAUAUCAAUAAGCGGAGGAAAAGAGACCAACAGGGAUUGCCUUAGUAACGGCGAGUGAAGCGGCAACAGCUCAAAUUUGAAAUCUGGCUCUUUCAGGGUCCGAGUUGUAAUUUGUAGAAGAUGCUUCGGGUGUGGUACCGGUCUAAGUUCCUUGGAACAGGACGUCAUAGAGGGUGAGAAUCCCGUAUGUGACUGGUCACCUUCGCUCAUGUGAAGCUCUUUCGACGAGUCGAGUUGUUUGGGAAUGCAGCUCGAAAUGGGUGGUAAAUUUCAUCUAAAGCUAAAUAUUGGCCAGAGACCGAUAGCGCACAAGUAGAGUGAUCGAAAGAUGAAAAGCACUUUGGAAAGAGAGUUAAACAGUACGUGAAAUUGUUGAAAGGGAAGCGCUUGCAACCAG